rnacentral:rRNA from 1 species
GCUUACACAUGCAGUCGAACGGAAAGGCCCUUCGGGGUACUCGAGUGGCGAACGGGUGAGUAACACGUGGGUGAUCUGCCCUGCACUUUGGGAUAAGCCUGGGAAACUGGGUCUAAUACCGAAUAUGACCAUGCGCCUCCUGGUGUGUGGUGGAAAGCUUUUGCGGUGUGGGAUGGGCCCGCGGCCUAUCAGCUUGUUGGUGGGGUAAUGGCCUACCAAGGCGACGACGGGUAGCCGGCCUGAGAGGGUGACCGGCCACACUGGGACUGAGAUACGGCCCAGACUCCUACGGGAGGCAGCAGUGGGGAAUAUUGCACAAUGGGCGCAAGCCUGAUGCAGCGACGCCGCGUGAGGGAUGACGGCCUUCGGGUUGUAAACCUCCUUUCAGCACAGACGAAGCGCAAGUGACGGUAUGUGCAGAAGAAGGACCGGCCAACUACGUGCCAGCAGCCGCGGUAAUACGUAGGGUCCGAGCGUUGUCCGGAAUUACUGGGCGUAAAGAGCUCGUAGGUGGUUUGUCGCGUUGUUCGUGAAAACUCACAGCUUAACUGUGGGCGUGCGGGCGAUACGGGCAGACUUGAGUACUGCAGGGGAGACUGGAAUUCCUGGUGUAGCGGUGGAAUGCGCAGAUAUCAGGAGGAACACCGGUGGCGAAGGCGGGUCUCUGGGCAGUAACUGACGCUGAGGAGCGAAAGCGUGGGGAGCGAACAGGAUUAGAUACCCUGGUAGUCCACGCCGUAAACGGUGGGUACUAGGUGUGGGUUUCCUUCCUUGGGAUCCGUGCCGUAGCUAACGCAUUAAGUACCCCGCCUGGGGAGUACGGCCGCAAGGCUAAAACUCAAAGAAAUUGACGGGGGCCCGCACAAGCGGCGGAGCAUGUGGAUUAAUUCGAUGCAACGCGAAGAACCUUACCUGGGUUUGACAUGCACAGGACGCCGGCAGAGAUGUCGGUUCCCUUGUGGCCUGUGUGCAGGUGGUGCAUGGCUGUCGUCAGCUCGUGUCGUGAGAUGUUGGGUUAAGUCCCGCAACGAGCGCAACCCUUGUCCUAUGUUGCCAGCGGGUUAUGCCGGGGACUCGUAGGAGACUGCCGGGGUCAACUCGGAGGAAGGUGGGGAUGACGUCAAGUCAUCAUGCCCCUUAUGUCCAGGGCUUCACACAUGCUACAAUGGCCGGUACAAAGGGCUGCGAUGCCGUGAGGUGGAGCGAAUCCUUUCAAAGCCGGUCUCAGUUCGGAUCGGGGUCUGCAACUCGACCCCGUGAAGUCGGAGUCGCUAGUAAUCGCAGAUCAGCAACGCUGCGGUGAAUACGUUCCCGGGCCUUGUACACACCGCCCGUCACGUCAUGAAAGUCGGUAACACCCGAAGCCGGUGGCCUAACCCCUUGUGGGAGGGAGCCGUCGAAGGUGAU